UACACUGUCACUGUUUUUGCUUCUCGUUUUAUCCAUUCAAAGUUUCUGCAUGAUCAUAGAAAUUAAGGAAUUAUCCAUCUCUAGCUAGUUAUAUUUUAGGUUUUACAGAUUGUUUUGGGAUUAGUGUUUUGUGUUUGUCUGUUGUCAUAUAUAAUCAGGAAGUUUAAACGCAUGCAAGUGACAUUUCAACUUGUUGUGGAAGGUUAAAUAUAAAGAUAAUUUUCACGUAAAGCUUAACAUUCUUCAAACUAGCUCGUCUAAAAACUAUAUGUGAUUUCUUAACACAACUCAUUUUACGCUACAAGGCGUAAAAAUAAAUCGAGCGAUAAUGAUGUUACGCAGCAAUAUAGUAAUCAGUAAACAAAAAAAGCAAUAGUAAGUGAAACGACGGUGAAUAAAACGUCAAAGACGAAGCUAAAUAACUAGGUCCGUAACCGUAGCGAUAGCCCUUACACUACUGCUACACUGUCGUCGCUUAAAUCUGACGGUCCCGAUAUACAUCGUCCCCAUUGAAGAUACUCAGAGAGCUCGGAUCUGGAAUCGGGAUCGUCGGAAUCGCUGCCGCUGUCACGAGCAUCUCGAUUAACCUUUCCUUAAAACGCCGCAUUUGAUUUCUCUUACAUGACUAUCCUCAAAUAUUUUAUUUUUCUUGUCAAAAUUUUCCAUAAAUAUUUGUCAUGUCUUAUGAAAUUAUGGAUCCAUGGAGGAAAUUAUAAGCACUUUAAGGCUACGCGGAGCCUACGUAGAGUCCAAAGAAAGAUUCAAGAAAGCAGCCUCUAAAGAAGGGAAAC
rnacentral:lncRNA from 1 species